CCUGAGAAACCCGAAAGUUCGAAUGGGGAGAUUCAUCGUUAGCGUUGGUGGCGUGUGCGAGUUGCGAUGCCGGAGAUCUCGGUCUCACGUCACGCUUCUUGUAUACUUUGUCACUAUCGUCGGCGUGCACUUCUCCCCUAGUAGGACGUCGCGACCCGUUGGGUGUCGGUCUACGGCCCGGGUGGUAGACUGUCACGUGUGCGCUUCACGGCGUUACGCGGGGCAGACCCCUGUGUGUCUGGCCGACUGCUCGGCGGUACUCGUACGGUAUUUGGCCGCAACUCGAACUGCGUCCGGCCCGUCGCAAGCGUGGCAAGUGUUCCCUGUCGUACGGAUCUGAUGCCGUUGGCGGGCCUUACCGGCUGUUGGUUGACGGUGUCCUAGGACUGGCCACUAUAUUUACCGGUCGGCGACGCUACUGCUUUGGGUACUUUCAGGACCCGUCUUGAAACACGGACCAAGGAGUCUAACAUGUGCGCGAGUCAUUGGGAACUCUUAAGCCUAAAGGCGCAAUGAAAGUGAAGGUCGUCCUUGCGUCGACCGAGGGAGGAUGGGCCGCGUUUAACUAUGCGGUCCCGCACUCCCAGGGCGUCUCGUUCUCAUUGCGAGAUGAGGCGCACCUAGAGCGUACACGU
rnacentral:rRNA from 1 species